CCCCGGUCUCACCAAUCAGGCUGCUCUCCGGUUGACUAAAGGCUGAGCAGAGUGUAUUCGGUGUCAGACACUGGCGGUGACUCCGCCUUCACUCUCACUCAUCCGGCUGGCAGACCCUGUCCCCAGCCCGGGACUCGCCAUGCGCUGCCCGCCUCUCCCACUGCCCCUGAUAUUGCUCCUUGGUUCUACACUCCUGCCAGGCUUUGCGGAGAACGUGAAGACAGGAGACGCAACAGGUGCCCUUGAGCUGCAGACCAAUGACAUUGAAGAUCUGAACCACAUUAAAACCCGUUUUUUGCUGCGAAGACCUUCAGCACCCUCUGAGGAUGACUGUUGUAUCAUUGCAGGCCACACCGACUCUCUGGCCAGUUGCAAUUUCAACGCCAGUAGCAAGACUUUCUUCAUUAUCCACGGAUGGAGUGUGACCGGGAUGUUUGAGACAUGGAUUGAAAAGCUGGUGGUGGCUCUGUACCAAAGGGAGCCUGACUCUAAUGUCCUUGUCGUGGAUUGGCUCAAUCGUGCUCACCAGCACUACCCAAUUGCAGCCCAGAAUACUCAGCUGGUUGGACAAGACAUUGCCAAGCUCAUCAACUGGUUGGAGAAACAAGUGAGAGUUCCAACUAGCAAGAUGCACCUAGUCGGCUACAGCCUGGGUGCGCAUGUGGCGGGUUUUGCAGGAAGUCACAUAGGCCACAAAAUUGGCAGGAUUACAGGGCUGGAUCCGGCAGGGCCGGUGUUCGAGGGGGUCCACGCUGAGGAGCGCCUGUCCCCGGAUGAUGCCAUUUUUGUUGAUGUCAUCCACACCUUCACGAGGCAGUCUCUGGGGCUGAGUAUUGGGAUCCGACAGCCCGUGGGACACGUUGACAUCUACCCAAAUGGAGGCCACUCUCAACCAGGCUGUGACCUACAGAGGGCCGUGAACAACAUUGCCAUGUAUGGUAUUUAUGCAUUCUCGGAAGCUGUGAAGUGUGAGCACGAGAGAUCCAUCCACCUUUUCAUCGACUCCUUGCUGCACAGUGAUCAGCCAUGCAUGGCGUUUCGCUGCAGCAACCACCACUCCUUCGAGAAAGGCAUAUGUCUGAGCUGCCGCAAGAAUCGAUGCAAUACGCUGGGCUACGGUGUGACACGGAUCUGCAACAAGAGGGCCAGCAAGAUGUACCUGAGGACCAGAGCUGAGAUGCCUUUCCGAGUUUAUCACUAUCAACUGAAGAUUCACUUCUCCAGCGGGAUUACCCACUUCGACAUCGAUCCCACGCUGUCUGUAUCUCUUCAUGGGACCAAGGGUGAUGCUGAGAACCUUCACAUUGAAACAGUGGAGAGGUUUUCACCCAACAAGACCCAUUCGUUCCUGGUGAUUACCGAGGUCGACAUUGGAGACCUGCUGUUGAUAAAGUUCAGGUGGGAAUCAUCCCUAACCUGGAAUUCCCUGUGGAAAAGGAUGAAGAAUUCCAUUUACUGGUACAAGCUGCCACUCUGGAGCACCUCGAUCCAUUCCGAUUCCAACUUUCAGAUCCACAGGAUCCGUGUGAAGUCUGGAGAAACACAGAAAAAGAAGGUCUUCUGUUUGAAGGAUUCCUCUGCCAGGAUUGUCCCAUCUCAGGAAGCCAUUUUUGUGAGCUGCCCAGUCGUUCCGGAGUCAGCACCACCAACGAGAGACACAACAGGAUAACAUUGGCCCUUCCAGCCCAAUGAGCCCCUGCUGCCCAGUUACACCCAAAUGACCAAUGUACGUCUUUGGAAUGUGGGAGGAACCUGGAGCACCCAAAGGAAACCCAUGCGGUCAUAGGGAAAACGUACAAACUCCAUAGGACAAUGUGCCCAUGGUCAGAAGCACUGAGAGACGUGGCUGGGGGCAUCAACCAGACUAAACCUGCACCACUGGAAUCGGCUCCAACAAGCGGCAGCUGUUCACACAAUAACCCAGCCUUGCUGUUUACUUUUUGUGAUGGUAUUUAUUUGUAUAUAUUGUAAAUACCUUGUACAAUAGCUACAUAGACCCAAUGAGCCUAUCUAUUGGACAUUGCUUGCAUUGUAUAUUGCCAGAAUAAUGGCCUUUUUGUUAAUGUGUUAUGGUAGCUGAAGACCUUGAUAACUCAGUGACUUGCCCUGUACUCCAGGAUUUAUGCUUCCUUCCUGGAUUAUAUUUGCUUAAUAUUGGCUUCCAAUUCCUCUCCAACUCUGUCCUUCUCUGGCCUGAUCCCCGCUCCACACAACCCUUGUGCAAUCUCCAAAAGCCUGCCAGCAUGACCAACUCUCAUUCCCUCUCAGACUCCCACUCACUCGAGUCCGAUCCUCCCAACCUUCAGCCUGUCUCUGUUCCACCCCACUCCAUGCCUCUCCUCUACCCUCCCACCUAACACUACAGUCCACAGCACCUGCUAAUGCUGACCACACAGUUUCUGGAGGUGUCCAACGUGUAUGGUGUUCCAGGGCUGGAACAGGACUACAAACUUCUCCACAGACGAUGAAGAUCACUGACGUAUGGAUUGUCCCUACUGAAGACCCUACUGUGUUGAGAAUACUGCAAGGAAUGGUGGACCCUGUGCAGCAGGCCGGCUUUCUACUGGCAGCACUGGGAUGGCAAGAGUGACAUCUGAUGGAUCAAGCACGACACCUCUGAGUGGAGAGCGGUGGAGAGCGGAAAGUCAAAGAUCCAUAGGCUGUACUGGUGAUAUCAGAUCCACGGGGUGUACUGGGGAAUUUCAGAUCCACGGGCUGUACUGGGGGAUAUCAGAUCCACUGGCUCUACUGGGGGUAUCAGAUCCACAGGCUGUACUGGUGAUAUCAGAUCUACGGGCUUUACUGGUGAUAUCAGAUCCACGGGCUGUACUGGGGGAUAUCAGAUCCAACGUCGGUACUGGGGGAUAUCAGAUCCACGGGGUGUACUGGGGUGUAUCAGGUCCAUGGACUGUACUGGGGGUAUCAGAUCCACGGGGUGUACUGGGGAAUUUCAGAUCCACGGGCUGUACUGGGUAAUCAGAUGCACGUGGUGUACAGGGGAUAUCAGAUCCACAGGCUGUACUGGUGAUAUCAGAUCCAUGGGCUUUACUGGUGAUAUCAGAUCCACGGGCUGUACUGGGGGAUAUCAGAUCCACGGGCUGUACUGGUGAUAUCAGAACCACGGGGUUUACUGAUGAUAUCAGAUCCACGGGGUGUACUAGGGUGUAUCAGGUCCACGGGCUGUACUGGGGGUAUCAGAUCCACGGGGUGUACUGGGGAAUUUCAGAUCCACAGGCUGUACUGGUGAUAUCAGAUCCACGGGGUGUACUUGGGAAUAUCCGAUCCACGGGCUGUACUGGGGGAUAUCAGAUCCACGGGCUGUACUGGGGGUAUCAGAUCCACGGGGUGUACUGGCGAUAUCAGAUCCACGGGCUGUACUGGGGGUAUCAGAUCCACAGGCUGUACUGUUGAUAUCAGAUCCACGGGCUGUACUGGUGAUACCAGAUCCACGGGCUGUACUGGGGUAUCAAAUCCACGGGCUGUACUGGUGAUAUCAGAUCCACGGGUUGUACUGGGGGAUAUCAGAUCCAGGGGCUGUACUGGGGGAUAUCAGAUCCACGGGCUGUACUGGGGGAUAUCAGAUCCAACGUCGGUACUGGGGGAUAUCAGAUCCACGGGGUGUACUGGGGUGUAUCAGGUCCAUGGACUGUACUGGGGGUAUCAGAUCCACGGGGUGUACUGGGGAAUU